rnacentral:lncRNA from 1 species
AUAUAUUUUAUGUUUUCAGUUUCGACCCCGUUUGGUCACCGAAAACUGUACCGAAUUGUAAUCUUUAUCAGAUAGCUGUCGGAUUUUAUUUCUCACUCUACGGGUGUCAGAAAAAUAUGAAACUUUAAAUCUAGCCUCAUAAAAAUAUUUCUGAUUUAUCCUCCAAUUUUCAUAAUUUUCUGAGACUGUGCAUUUUCUGCUAAUUUAUCUGUCCCGUUUCCAACAGAAAAUUCUAGAUUUUCUGUUUUCAUUCCGAUUUCAGCACAAAUCACUUCUGACUUGUGUUUUACUCCUCUAAAUCCAAUAAAAAUAGUAUCUCAUACUAUUUUUAUUUAUUUCUAUUUUUAUAUUUAAAAAUCCGGUAUAUUAUAUUCCAUCGCAACCUCACCAGAACCAUUCAAAUGGCUUUCAAACCAAAUGUACACCGUAACUUCAUAAUUUUAGAAGUCCGGUACCUUACACUUAGGGUCUAGUCAACCUUUUGCUAUAGCACAUCUACCUAAAGUGGAUUCCAUACCCGAUCGAGUUCUAACACAUCUAUUUAAAAGUCAUGCAAAUCAAAUCUGACGAACCCAAACGCAAUACCUUAGGGCUUAGUCAGUUCUUCACUCUGGCACAUAUAAGUAGAGUGAAAAAUAUAUUAAAUUCGGUUAAUCCUAAUACAUACACUCAGGAAUUAGCCACUCUCUACUUUCGGGUGAUAUCAAAUCUGACAUACCUCUCAAUAUAUAUACUUGGGGUUUGGUCACAUCUCUACCUUGGAAUAUACAACCAAGGUGAAUAUAAUUGGACUCUAAGACAUAUAUUUAGAGCCAAUUGGACUCUAAUCUAUGUACUUAGAGUUUAAUAUCGACUAGGUCUUAACACAUAUACUUAUGACCUAGUCAAGUUCAAAUCCAACUGAAUCCUAAUACAUAUACUUAGGCAUUGUUUGGUUGGGGGAUAAAGUGGGAAUAGACCACUUUAUCCCUCUAAUUCAUCCAAACACUAUAAGAGGAAGUGAGUUUAUUUUAUCCCCCUCUUAACGGGUUAUUCUAGAAUAACCCGUUAAGAGGGGGGAUUUGUUGUUCCACCCUUUUGGUGGAAUAACAAAUUUUUC